rnacentral:miRNA from 1 species
CAUGUAUAUGUAUAUGUAUAUAUGUGUGUGUAUGUGUAUAUAUAUAUAUAUAUAUAUAUAUAUAUAUAUAUAUAUAUAUACACAUACACACACAUAUAUACAUAUACAUAUACAUAUAUA